rnacentral:pre_miRNA from 1 species
AGAGGGAUAGCUGGGUCAAAUGGUGGUUCCAUUCCAGUUUUUCUGAGGAAUCUCCAUACUGCUUUCCAUGCUGGUUGCACCAAUUUACAGUCUCACCAGCAAU